GGUGCCGUAUGUUACAGUUCACAGCCCAUUAUUUGUAACGUGCAUCCGGUAGUACAUCCGAUAGACCAAAGUUUACCGUGAAAGUCUUUGCCAGCAAAUGGGCAACCGACUUACCAGGACAGUAGGUCGCCACGCACGUUAAUUCGACUUUCAGUUCGGACAUGUGUCCACCUUGCCACAGCAAAGGAAAACCUUUUUACGGUGACCAUCAUUGAUCAGUGAUGGUGGAGAUGAGAAUUGUGCCGUGCCUUGCCCUUUCCGUUCAAGCAAGAUCGACUUGGGGGUCCUCCAACGAGGCAGCGGCAGCGCAGAGAACGGUACGUGACAAGCUGCGUAAUGUAGCUCGAAAUGUGCACGCAAGGUGCUCAUGCUUGUCAUGGUUAUCUUGCUUCUGUGAUAGAAGUGGAACCGCAAGUUGGCAAGCCAUUUAGUGGGUCGCACAAGCUAGCUGGAAUAUCUUAAUUUUUUCACGAAUACACAAAGCUUUGCGUAUCAUUUCAUUGAUAGAAAAAGUUAAGAGUGAGAACAAGAAGUGAUACAAAACGCAUGCCACGAACGCAGAAGGUGUGAGCAUGGUGCCAGUAGCAGAGGGACAAGUAAUGCCCGGCCCAAAACAGAGAAAAUAACAUGGCAAAACUUGCCUCCUAGGGAAGCAGCCCGACCCAAAACAAACCAUGACGACCAACUUCUCUAGAUCCUGUUAGGAUUUAAUUAAUCCUAUUAAUUCCUGCUUUUUCUAAUCGAGGCGGUUGUCUCGUGUUCCUUCGGACGCACCCUUUUAAGGGCUAUAUAUAUGUGUGUAAUUCCAUCAUCAAUGAGAACAACGAUUCACUUUUACUUCUCUGUCUUCCUCUCUCUCUCGUUUCUUUUCAACACGUUAUCAGCACGCUCUCGGCAGAGCGGCUACCGGCCUCAUGGGGCGACACAGAACGGGGAAGACCGAGGCCGGCGACGUCUCGAAGAGCAGCAGCGACGCUCCCCGGCAGACGACGCGGCCCUCGUCUUGCAUCUGGCGCAGAUCGGCAGGCCUCGGCCAGUCCUCCACAGCGAUGCCCUUGGUCCCGUGAUCCCGUCGCUACCCCCGGCGAGGCCCUUCCCACGCGCGGGGCCCGCCUUACUCGGGGGCGGCCACGGCCAUGACCAAUCCCGGUGCGGCGCGCAGCCCCGCAUCAACGGCAGUGCCUGCGACCGGCCCUCCACCUCGACUCCAUGCCACGACGCCCCCCAGCAACUCCAGUGAUUUUCAACUCGAACGAGGAAAAUCCAAAGGGGAAGAAGAACUGAAUCGGAGUCAAGCACCACGCAAACAUCAGCGUCUUCGUCUAAUAAACAAGCUGCUACUUUACUAAUUUCGUUCCUGGCUACAAAAUAAUUGCUUUCCCAUGAACAGGAAGCCAUCAAGCAAGUCUUACCCGGGCGAGGCCCCAUGCCUGGUGCUCGAGUCCACUGCCAACGGCAGCGGUCGGCGUCGCCUUGGCGCACGACGUCGGAGGCGGCUCCCUGCGGGGCAGCGCCCUCCGGCGCGCGGCACCCAGCCUGGUGAUGCAUCUCGUCCCUCCAACGCUAGGCACGACGACGCUCCCAUCGGCGCGGCUCCAAUCGACGGAACCUGCGCAUGGCGGUGCCCGCGACCACGGCUUAUGGCACACGCCGCUGCACCCUCGAUCUGUAGAGAGGCGCGGAGCAGUGGACCAUGGCGCGGAUGUAGGGCUUCAACUCCCCGACGAGCGGCGCCCUCCGGCGUGGCUGCUCGGGGCCACGGCCCCUCCCGUGAAGGAGAUGGGACGGCCAGAUAGCGAUGCCCUCAGGCGCGCGCGACGUGGCCUGGCCCUCCAGCGCGGUACCCUCUGCGGCGUCGACAGAGCGGUUCCGUAUAUACUGGCGAUGCGGCGCUGCUAGCGCAUGGCACGGCGGCGCACAGUGCGAGCGUCUCCCGGCGGUAGCGGUUAUCAGGGACUGCACGAGAAAAAAAAGAGAACCUUAUCUCUUCGGCAGUUUUCACUUCAGACCUUGUGGUUUCCUAUAAUCACAAAUGACUGCCUACAAUUCUCUCACGCAUGAUAGCCUAUUUUUCUGUUUGAGUUUUAACAUUUCAGAAAAUAUAUGGUUAUUGUAUGUGGCAUGUUCAAUGUGUUUGCUUUUUAGCAAUUCCUAUAACAUGUUCCAUUAGUACAAUGACAUUGUUUUGCGAUUGAGAUUAAGUUUUCUCGCACAACAUUUGCGAUUGAGAAAUUUUCUUUUUCUCGCAAAAAAAAUCUCAUUGCGGUCGAGAUCAGUUUUC
rnacentral:rRNA from 1 species